rnacentral:rRNA from 1 species
UGGGGAAUUGUUCACAAUGGGCGCAAGCCUGAUGACGCAACGCCGCGUGGAGGAUGAAGGUCUUCGGAUUGUAAACUCCUGUUGCUCGGGACGAAAAGCUUUGACCUAACACGUCAAAGUCUGACGGUACCGAGUGAGGAAGCCCCGGCUAACUCUGUGCCAGCAGCCGCGGUAAUACAGAGGGGGCAAGCGUUGUUCGGAAUUACUGGGCGUAAAGGGCGCGUAGGUGGCCUUCUAAGUCGAACGUGAAAUCCCUGGGCUCAACCCAGGAACUGCGUCCGAGACUGGGAGGCUUGAAUCCGGGAGAGGGAUGCGGAAUUCCAGGUGUAGCGGUGAAAUGCGUAGAUAUCUGGAGGAACACCGGUGGCGAAGGCGGCAUCCUGGACCGGUAUUGACACUGAGGCGCGAAAGCCAGGGGAGCAAACGGGAUUAGAUACCCCCGUAGUCC